GACGGAGGGUGCAAGCGUUGUUCGGAAUUACUGGGCGUAAAGGGCGCGUAGGCGGCCGUUUGCGUCGGAUGUGAAAGCCCGGGGCUCAACCUCGGAACGGCAUUCGAUACGGGACGGCUGGAGACCGGGAGAGGAGAGUGGAAUAGCCAGUGUAGAGGUGAAAUUCGUAGAUAUUCGCAAGAACACCAGUGGCGAAGGCGGCUCACUGGCCCGAUACUGACGCUGAGGCACGAAGGCCAGGGGAGCAAACGGG
rnacentral:rRNA from 1 species